GAUUUUUGUCCCUCACCCCGCCGCCGCCGCAUCUUCCUCGGGAUCCCUCCCGAACCAACCAGCAGCCUCCUCCCCACGAUCCACCAACCUUCUCGUUGAAUCGAGCCAACCAGUCGCCUCCCAAUCGAGCUAUCGCUCAAUCUGCUCCUCCCCCACUUGCCUCCAUCGUCUCAACAACGGAGCAACUCCAACCCUGCCGCCCAGCGACCUCGCCGCCGACGACUGACCCACAGGUCCCGGUCUCCUCCCCUGCCUUGAUCUCUUCUUCUCCUUCCCUUUCUAGCUCCCUCUUUUCUCUCAUGGCCGUCGCUCGAUGUGUCUCUUCUUCACAGCACUAGAGGCCAUGGACGUUGCCGCCCUUUGUGAAGUCGCCGUCGUCACCACGAACCCUCCCCAUCGCCUGCAUCUCUUCUCGCGACUCUGAUGCGCCUGUGUUUCACCAGAGACCGGCCCCGUCGCCGCCCAAGUCCACCGGGACUUCAGCCGUGCCUGUGCCCUCCUCCACGAGCUGCCCAGCCGGGCCUCUCCUGCAGCUGAGCCCCUUCCUCGCGCGUCCGUCUCCUCUCGCUGAUCCGCCUCGUCCCGGAGCAAGCUCGCCGGUGUUCCUCGUCGUCCUCGCGCUAGUGGUCGCCGGCCACCCAAGAAGCAGCAGUCCGGAGCCCCAGCUGCAACAACCUCGACCCGCGCCGUCUUCCCCGUCAACCACCUCGAGCGUGGGCCUCGUCCAGCCUCGCCGUCCCCGACCUCUUUUCCGGCAGGAUCCGCCCCAGCGCCGUGGUUCCCCGGCGCCUCGAACCUCCCCUGCUUCGUCACUGCUCGAACUCGGGCACGCUCCCAAGACCCAUGGCGCCCCUCCCGUGCGCGCCUCUUCUCGUCCUCCGCGCCCAUAGUAGCUCGAGGGGAGGAUCCCCUCGUUUCCGUGCUCCUCGUUGCCCGCCUCCGGCUACCUCUGCGCUGGAUCCGCGCCAAGGCCCUGCCCUGCCUCUGCUUCUUUCGAACAGGGAGGAGGACGCCCUGCCUCCGCUCGCUCGAUUCGUCUGCGUUGACCGCCGCCACAGCCGCACGCUGAGGCCCAGCCGCUGGCCAGUUCCGGCCCAGCGAGGUGAGGACGCGCCCAACGCCUCCUUUGUUUUUUUUUCUUCUCUGUUGGCCCAGACGUGCACUAUUUGGCCCAAGUUUUUUUUAGGUUCUGUGAUUUCCCCCCUUUUCCAGUGUGUUUCAUUUUUGCAGAAUAAGCCCUUCUAGUCCAUGCAUUUAAUAACCCACAAACUAAGCACCACUUGCAAAAACUUUAUAUAUGAAAAAUGCUUAGAUUUCCGUCUAGUUUCAUAAUAUGGCACUUUCAUCCAUGUUUGAAAUGUUUAAAAUGCUGUUUGAUUAAAUUUGCUCCUAUGUCAAGUUAAAAUGCUUUAAUUCAUAACUAAAUAACCGUAACUCCAAAUUUAAUAAACUUUAUAUGUAAAUGGGGUAGAAAAAUGCCUAGUUUAACAUGGUGAGAUUGCUUUGCAUGUUUAACAACUCUAAAAUUAUGUUUAGGGCAGAACAGUACCAAAAAUAAUAUAUGCAUAUGAGGAGUUUCCAGAAUUGUUGUUCGUUGUUUCCGGCCUCAUUUAAACUUGACUAGAUAGGUAGUUUUCAUUUGCUUCACCCUCUUGCCAUGCUAACAACAUUUAAUCUUGUUGGGUACAUAAACGAGAGAGAACUAAAUAAGUCAUGUGGUGUUUUCGGCAAUAUGCAACUCGUUGCAUAUUGAGCUCCACUUAAUUUGUAGGAUUGUUUGUGCACUUUGUCAUGCCAUGCCAUGCCUCAUUAAACUGGUCAUGCAUCAUACUUGUUUGUGCAUCGUGCCAUGUUUAUGCUUGGUUGUUUACUAUGUUGUUUGCUUCUUUUUCCGGUGUACUUCUUCUCGGUAAUCCGGUAACGUCGUGUGGUGAGGACUCGUUCGACUUCGUCCAUUUGUCUUCUUCAUGGACUCGUUCUUCUUCCUUGCGGGAUUUCAGCUUGCAGGUGCCGUUGAACCGUGUAGAUGAUGCAACCAAGAUCAAGGAGGAGCUCGAUAAAGACCUUGUCCUUUGUGUUGUUUCAUUCCAGUUGAUCAGUAGUGGAGCCCAGUUGGGGUCGAUCGGGGAUCUGUGUAGCAUUUGGGGUAGUCUUCUUUUAUUUUGGCUCCGUAGUCGGGCCCUGAUUGUAUUUGGAUGAUGUAAUGCUUUAUUCAUGUAUUUGUGUGAAGUGGCGAUUGUAAGCCAACUAUGUAUCUUUUCCCUUAUUGUAUUACAUGGGUUGUUUGCGAAGAUUACCUCACUUGCGACAUUGCUUUCAAUGUAGUUAUGCCUCUAAGUCGUGCUUCGACACGUGGGAGAUAUAGCUGCAUCGAGGGCGUUACAAAGGAUUCGGUCGAGGACAAGCCUGUCGAAGCACCUCCAAAGCGUCGAGGACAGCGACGCCGCUCAAAAUCGGGUCGCGGAAAAGACAACAAUACCGGCACCGAAGAUAAUAACACUCCGGAGAACGCCAAAGACCCCAAAAUUCCUAUCAAGCCAACAUUUGAACAUGAUGAUUUGGAGGACAGGCAAGUUAACCCCGAUGAUCCAAUCGGGAACGAGGACUCGGAGGAUAGUAACUACCUACUGAUCUCCAAAGAGGAUGUGAGCCUUGGCGAUGAAGAUUUUAUCGUGCCGGAGGAGCCCCUCAAGCAAGAGCGCUUUAAGCGCAGGCUAAUCGCCAGUGCGAGAAGCCUAAAAAAGAAGCAGAAGCAGCUUGAAGCUGAACAAGACAUACUCAAUGACAGAUGGACUAAUGUCCUGGCAGCCGAGGAAUACGACCUCGAACGCCCAACCAAUAGUUACCUGAAGCGUAAGCUACUACCUCAAUUUGACAACGAGGCCCUUGAGCCAAUUCUACCAAAGCGUAAAACUGCUGACGAACCCGACCGACCACCACGCAGACGGGACAGACCGACUACCCACGCCGAACACUAGCCCGCGCCACCCCGCCAUCGAGGCAGGGAGGCAGAGGCCCCGAGCUAUACCUAUGACCUAU
rnacentral:rRNA from 1 species